rnacentral:tRNA from 1 species
UGCGGGAUCAUCUAGUGGUAGGAUGCGACUCUCUGAAAGUCGUCACCUUGGUUCGAAUCCAAGUCCCGCAGCCA